rnacentral:lncRNA from 1 species
UCCUCUCUCUCUCUCUCACUCACACACACACACACACACACAAACACACGCACAGAGAGACUUUUGCAGCACUGUGGACUCUGGAACAAACCGCUUUGGCCCCGGAAAGGGGGUGGGAGUUGGAAAGAGGAAAGGGAGGUGAGCUUUUUCCUUAUCAAUUCCUUCUUAAUGCUUUGCUUGGCUCGUUGCUAGACUUCUUGGUCCUCGCAUCGCCGCAGGUGGACGAAAUGGACGGUGGGGAUACGUUGC